GUCGCUGUCAUCCCACGAAGUUCCUGGAACAAUAGCCGCACAUUGCGAUAGAAACAGUUCCAAGCAACGGGGAACGACUGCUUCGUACCACGGAUGAAUGGGACACCCCGUACAUGAGCGUAUCCAGUUGCGCGUUAAUGUCGACAUUGUACAUUUCGCAAAUGUCCCUCAUCAGCAUGUUCGCGUCGUAUAGUUAUCCAUAAACGUUUCCCGGCGCUAUUAAGCAGCGAUGAACAAAGCUCGAGAGGACAACCAACACGUUUCCAACGAUGACAUCUCCUCGCUGAGGAGAGAUAUUAAGUCAAGUUUUUUCCAACCUCGAGCAGAGUGGAAGUCAUUUAGCUCCUGAUAGGCAAUUCGUUCCUUGUUUUUCGUCUUCCCUCGCAUCACUCGACUCGACGACGCCGAUGCCUCAUGCCACUUAAGAGGGAAGAUACAGGUAGGGCCCAGGUUCGAACAGAUUAUUAAGUUAUCAUCGUUUCGU